rnacentral:rRNA from 1 species
AUACGUAGGGGGCGAGCGUUGUCCGGAAUGAUUGGGCGUAAAGGGCGCGUAGGCGGCCCGGUAAGUCUGGAGUGAAAGUCCCGCAUUCAAUGUGGGAAUUGCUUUGGAUACUGCAGUGCUAGAGUGCGGAAGAGGUAAGUGGAAUUCCCAGUGUAGCGGUGAAAUGCGUAGAGAUUGGGAGGAACACCAGUGGCGAAGGCGACGUACUGGGCCGUAACUGACGCUGAGGCGCGAAAGCGUGGGGAGCGAACAGGAUUAGAUACCCUGGUAGUCCACGCGGUAAACGAUGAAUGCUAGGUGUAGGAGGUAUCGACCCCUUCUGUGCCGGAGUUAACGCAAUAAGUACCCCGCCUGGGGACUACGGUCGCAAGACUAAAACUUAAAGGAAUUGACGGGU